rnacentral:lncRNA from 1 species
UAGGUUUUGUUUUUACCUACACGUGGAUAUAAAGAACGUCGAAAACGGAGUUUGUAUGCGAAAGUUAUGAAUUUCUGAAGUUUGGGGCGCGAAACCCCAAAACUGUCAGAACUCACGAGGUGAAUAUUAGAAAUUCACGAGGUGAACAGACGAUGGACGUCUUCCAGGGCAAGUGGCCAUGACAAACGCAAUGACGUAUCGAGCUCACGAGGUGAGUAUUAGAAACUCACGAGGUGAGCAAGUUCACGAGGAAUAUUAGAAACUCACGAGGUGAACUCAGAAAAUUCACCCUAUAAAUAGAAAUCAAGGGUCAGCCGAUUUUGGUUGCUCCUUCUCAUCAAACUCACUCCCGAUACUCUCUCUAAGCCCUAUUUUAACCCCCCGAAGCCCCGGUAUCAUUCCCAAGCCCCAAAGCAAGUCCCGAAGCCCGAAGAUCCCGAGAAGUGAAAUUCCCGAGCCGAAGCUCUGCCUGCGAGAAGCCGAUUUUUGUGAAGAUCUUCCAGAUCUACCGAAGAAUACUACUUUUACAAGUCGUAGUGCUGUCCGGGCAUCGUCUAAUCAUGUGAGUGUAUAGUCAAUUUCAUCUUGCACAUAGAUAUGAAAUAUUUUAUAAAGUACGUGCUAUGUGUAUAUAUAUUGUUGUUUAUAUGUGUGAGUGUAUAGUCCCUUUCAUAAACAUGAUUUUAAUACAAGUAUUGUUUGAAUGUAUUAAGUAUAUGUUUGGUGUGAGUGUAUAUUUACUUUCUUCUAACACAUAAAUAUAAAUUAUUAGCUAUGAAAUACAUGCUAUGUGUUAUAUAUUAUUUGUCUAUUUGAGAUGGGCUUGGAAUUUAUGUUUUUAUACGGGUGUUAAAUGAUUUAAACUGUGUUUGUAUCUAUAUCUACAAAAUUGUUGGGUAGAACAUGGGUAGAUAGAAUAAUUGGUGACAAUGCGACUUCGUGCCUAUUGAGUAAAACCUUGGUGAUAAUGCGACUUCGUGCCUAUUGAGUAAAACCUUGGUGACGAUGCGACUUCGUGCCUAUUGAGUAAAACCUUGGUGACGACGCGACUUCGUGCCUAUUGAGUAAAACCUUGGUGACGAUGCGACUUCGUGCCUAUUGAGUAAAACCUUGAUGACGAUGCGACUUCGUGCCUAUUUGAUAAACCUUGGUGACGAUGUGACUUCGUGCCUGUUGUGUAAACCCUGGUGACUAUGAGACGUAGUGCCUAUCGUAUGAACCCUGGUGACUAUGUGACGUAGUGCCUGUUGUAUAAACCGUGGUUGAAAAUGGAUUUUGUGCCAGUUCGUUAGGUAAAUCCUUAGGGAUGAAUGAAUGAAGGAUAGUUGGUUAUUAGGGUAAACCUUGAGAAAAUAAAGGAGAUAUGGGAUGGGUAUUUGGGUUGAUUGUUUGAUAAUUGAAUAUAAUAAAUUUAUUAUUGUGAGUUGAAAACCCUAUAUGCUCACCAGGCUCCCAAGCCUGACCCUCUCAGUUUUCUUUGCAUUACAGGUAAUGGCACAAGGGUAUAAGUUGAUGGACUUGACGAGAGAUUUUGGAUUAUAGAUCAGUAGUUAUAAAUAACUGUUGUAAGGUGUAUUUUAUAUUGUUUAUGCUUUUGGUUUGUAUCGGAACAUGACAUCCCGAGGUUUUAUUAUUAAAUAAAAAAAAUACAUUCUCUUUGAGAAAUGUUUUGAUAAGUUAUUAUCAUAUCUUGUUUUGGGAACAAAUUCCGCAACCGUUUUCUUUAAACGAUUACUAUGAUUUAUAAAACAAAGCAUAAACAAAUCAGUAUUUUCUGGCCGUGAAAUUGGGGAUGUCACAGUUGGUAUCAGAGCAUUACUUUAAGCGAACUAGGAAUUUGUAGGAUUUAUAGACUUAAACUUAGAAUGCUAAGUAAUGAUCGUGAGGAGUGUGUCUAAAAUAUGUUAGGUAGUACACCUAAAUUGACACAAGCACUAGUUUAUUUUAGGAAUGAUGCCUAAAUUGCUUUUAUGUGCUAAAUGUGAUACGUUGCCAUAUAUGAUAUUAUUUGUUCGGAUCUAUGGUUUGUUGCCGACCGGAUCAGGAAACCUUAUGUGUUUAGGAUUCUAAGUGUAUGCUUACGAUAUUAGAACUAGCAUGUAAACGUUUCGAGGUGAUAAGGAGAUUUAUACAUCGAUCGUAAUUAAAGCUUUCUUAUCUUAAAUUCUCGCCCGAUACACCGAACGUCUGCUUAGGUGUACCAAACUUUGUGGUGAAGACUCAUAUAGAUUUGAGUAAAUGGAGGAAAUGAAAGGCUUAUGAUAGUGAAUGACGCCUAUCGGAAGAUAUCGUAAGAGUGGUAUCUUGCCUUUAGUUUAUGUCUGAUAAAAUAACGGAACGUUUAGAGGAGUACGGUACGUCUAAAGUACACCUUCGAUUGGCAGGAUGAUGGAACGAUUGGUGUAAUUCUUGAAGUUGUCCCAUAAUCUGGAAUUUCCAUCACCAACCGAGUUGAAGUAGAAUUGAUGAGUGAAGAUGCGCAUGGAAGAAGCCCUAGUAGAGUCUAGGAAAAUUUUGUAUGAUUAAUUGGACACAUUAGUAUGUGUUAAAUUGUUUGGUGAUUUUAGGACUUGGGGACUGCAAGACAAUACUUGGGACGAGUAUGAGUAGGUGUGAAUAGUAGUAGAGAUCUAUACUACUGGAAGCACAGGACUCACACUUGGAUCAGGGAAAGUCACAAGGUUACCAAGAAGCUUGUAAUUGAGUUCGUUUUUAUUCAAGUAUGUUGUUACCAUUGUUUCAGUAAUGACUAAAAAGAUGAUUGAUAUUCUGACCCUAGCGGUCAUUUCAAACUAAGUCCGACUACGAUGAGUUUGUUACGUGGUUCAUAGAACCAAGUUCGAGGUAGCAUCUGACUUAAGUCAGAAGAUUGAAAUCAAUGCGAUCGAUAGCAUCACGCUCGUUGUUAAGGAAGCUUGUAUCUAGAAAUGCUACAUGUAAAAAUGUGAUUAAAUCACAUUAGAGUAUGAAGGAAGGUAUAUUCCAUUCUGGAAUUUGACUCUAAGAGACUUGAGUCUAAGCGUUGCAUCAUACGAUGAGAGGUCAUUAGAACACGACCCAUCGAUUUGUUACACUAGAUAAAGGAAAGUACUUAUUCUAAGAAGAAGAAGGAGUCCUCAGUAAGGAUUUAUUUUGUAACUCGAAGGUUACGACUGAAAGUCCAACAUAGUACAAAGAGCAGAUGCAGGAUUGAGCACUACCUGCUAUCGAGAAGUCCAAGAGUUAGAUACUCUUUUGAGGAAACAUAGAACUUACAAUUAUUACCUAGGAUGAAGAGAUAACGUAGGGAAUCAUUAUAUAAUUCCUAUUUCGUUGAUGAUUUCGGGACGUAAUCAUCCUAAGGGGGAGAUAAUUGUAACGCCCGCAGAUCCGGGCUAGUCAAUUUAGAGACGAUAAGCAUCAAAAAUGACUUUUUUUAUGGAAGAUUAUUUAGAAGGAUUGAUCUUAACUAAGUUGUAGUAUAUUUCACAAGGUUUCUGUGCAUCUAAAGAACGUCGUAAUCCGAGUUAUAACGAAGAAGUUAUGACCUGUCGAAGUUUUGCGACAAAACCGGCACGACACAACGCGACGUAAAUAGUGAAUUUACGUUAGAGCGAUAUUUGGCCUUAGCGAUCUAAAUGAAACUCGUAGAAUACGUUAAACCGAGAGCGUGCAUAAAAAGAACGUCUAAAUCUGACUUCGUAUGAGGAAGUUAUGAUUUUUCGAAGUUUCAGCAUUAGCAGUAUGCAGCCCGAAACUCGAGAUUGAGGUCGAGUGAUAUUUAGCCAAAACUUUCUAAAUGAGAAUUGAAGAUCUCAUCAAUAGUAAUCCAACGAUAAAAAGACAGGCGAAAACGGAGUUCAGAUGAAGGAGUUAUGAAUUUCGAACGGAGUUUUCCUGUCCUAGCCUACUAAAAAUAAUAUAUUAAUAAUAUACUAAAAUUAAAGUCAAAAUUAGCCGACAAAGUCUAAAUGAAAGUUUUAGGUUUUGUUUUUACCUACACGUGGAUAUAAAGAACGUCGAAAACGGAGUUCGUAUGCGAAAGUUAUGAAUUUCUGAAGUUUGGGGCGCGAAACCCCAAAACUGUCAGAACUCACGAGGUGAAUAUUAGAAAUUCACGAGGUGAACAGACGAUGGACAUCUUCCAGGGCAAGUGGCCAUGAUGAACGCAAUGACGUAUCGAGCUCAUGAGGUGAGUAUUAGAAACUCACGAGGUGAGCAAGUUCACGAGGAAUAUUAGAAACUCACGAGGUGAACUCAGAAAAUUCACCCUAUAAAUAGAAAUCAAGGGUCAGCCGAUUUUGGUUGCUCCUUCUCAUCUCUCUCACUCCCGAUACUCUCUCUAAGCCCUAUUUUAACCCCCCGAAGCCCCGGUAUCAUUCCCGAGCCCUAAAGCAAGUCCCGAAG